UCUGUCGUUCAAAGAAAGACCGUCGGUGAACUUUCGAAGCAGUCCCUCUUCUCCUUCGAGGUCAGUCCCUCUUCUCCUUCGCCAACUCCCUCUCCUAGCGCCAACUCCCUCUCCUCGCGCCAACUCCCUCUCCUCGCGCCAACUCCCUCUCCUCGCGCCAACUCCUCCUUGGCCAAGAUAUGUGGCCAAACUUGGAGUGAAUGAAGAGGCCUUUUCCAAAUCAUCCUUGGACUGAAUCUGAAGCGAAUGUCCGAAACUUCUCAUGGCGUGGAAGUUCUUGGUUACUUUCGUUGAUGUUCUUGGCCUUCGGUCUUUUACUCUUGAUGAGUUUCUUCAAGCUUUUCAUGAUCAUGACUCAAGGUUAUUGGGUGAAGUACACAUGGCUGUUCUGAAAUCUGUCAUAAAGGAUAUUGAGGAUGUUGCUAGAACCUCCUCUACAGGUCUGGAGGUGGCUAUCUGCGAAUAGUGGAAGGGGUGAGGCUCCUUGGUUGUUAUUACUGCUCUUAAAGUUUAUUCAUGUUUCUAAUCUGGUUCUUUGUUCACCAUCAAGUUACGUUGUUGGCACUCUAUUUCAGUCAUAAGCUUGGGGUUUUGACCUAUGCAGCUGGUAGCAACACUUAAAUCCUUUAACAUGGCCUAAGUUUACUUAGACUGUUAGCCUUAUCAGGAGGGUUUUGGUCCUCAAUAGGGGAACGGGAGAAUGCUGAACCAAGCAUAUCAUCAUGAUGAAAAUGAGUAAACUCUGUUCACAGUAUGUACAUUCCAUAAGAUUUUUCUCUCAGGGAUGUAAAUGUUGGGUUACGGGCAUUGGAGAGAGCUUACUGUAGUCAACACAGCACAUAGACGUGAACAAGGAUCUUAUGGAGGGAGUAGUGUCUCUUAUUCACUUUGCAUUCCUCCAUAGAAUUUUAUGUUAAAACAAAUCAAUAUGACAACGUCGUGGGUUCAAACUAGUACAGUCUUAGCUAGAAAAUGAUGGAGUCAGUUCACUGGGUUACGGGCAUUGGAGCAAUUUCGACGAGAGAGCUUACAGUAGUCGCCAUAGCACAAAGACGUGAAUGAGGUGGAUCUUAUUGACAAAUCAAUAUGACAACGUCAUGGGUUCAAACUAGGAGAGGAUGGAGACAUGGAAAAGAGGGGCAGAUGAGUUGAUGA